UUGUUCUUUAGCUCUUUGCAAUAAAUCUUGCUACUGCCCACUCUUUGGGUUUACACUGCAUUUAUGAGCUGUAACACUCAUGGUGAAGAUUUACAGGUUCAGUCCUGAAGCCAGCGAGACAAAGAACCCACUGGGAAGAACAAACAACUCCAGACGCCCCAACUUAAGAGCUGUUAACACCCGAAGAUCUGCAGCUUCACUUUUGAGCCAGCGAGACCACGAACCCACCAGAAGGAAGAAACUCUGAACAGGCUGGAACGUCAGAAGGAACAAACUCAGGACAUGCCACCUUUAAGAACUGUAACACUCACUGUGAGGGUCUGCGGCUUCAUUCUUGAAGGCUGUGAGACCAAGAACCCACCAAUUUCGGACACACUGGGACCACCCUCGCUGACUGGAGCACUUGAGGCAAUCAUUCCCAGAUAGUGGAACCUCGAAUGGCAGACACUGUGGUUCUCCUGCGGGGCUGAGAACUGUGAGGAGCAGAGCAGACUUC
rnacentral:lncRNA from 1 species